rnacentral:rRNA from 1 species
GAGGAGCGGCAGACGGGUGAGUAACACGUGGGAAUCUACCCAUCUCUACGGAACAACUCCGGGAAACUGGAGCUAAUACCGUAUACGCCCUUCGGGGGAAAGAUUUAUCGGAGAUGGAUGAGCCCGCGUUGGAUUAGCUAGUUGGUGGGGUAAAGGCCUACCAAGGCGACGAUCCAUAGCUGGUCUGAGAGGAUGAUCAGCCACACUGGGACUGAGACACGGCCCAGACUCCUACGGGAGGCAGCAGUGGGGAAUAUUGGACAAUGGGCGCAAGCCUGAUCCAGCCAUGCCGCGUGAGUGAUGAAGGCCCUAGGGUUGUAAAGCUCUUUCACCGGUGAAGAUAAUGACGGUAACCGGAGAAGAAGCCCCGGCUAACUUCGUGCCAGCAGCCGCGGUAAUACGAAGGGGGCUAGCGUUGUUCGGAAUUACUGGGCGUAAAGCGCACGUAGGCGGAUUGUUAAGUGAGGGGUGAAAUCCCAGGGCUCAACCCUGGAACUGCCUCUCAUACUGGCAAUCUCGAGUUCGAGAGAGGUGAGUGGAAUUGCGAGUGUAGAGGUGAAAUUCGUAGAUAUUCGCAGGAACACCAGUGGCGAAGGCGGCUCACUGGCUCGAUACUGACGC